AGUGGCGGACGGGUGAGUAACGCGUGGGUAACCUGCCCUGUACAGGGGGAUAACAGCUGGAAACGGCUGCUAAUACCGCAUAAGCGCACGAGGAGACAUCUCCUUGUGUGAAAAACUCCGGUGGUACAGGAUGGGCCCGCGUCUGAUUAGCUGGUUGGCAGGGUAACGGCCUACCAAGGCAACGAUCAGUAGCCGGUCUGAGAGGAUGAACGGCCACAUUGGAACUGAGACACGGUCCAAACUCCUACGGGAGGCAGCAUG
rnacentral:rRNA from 1 species